GGGAAAUGAAGACCUGUGGCCACUCACCAAACACUUUGUGUUUCAGAAGAGCGGUUGACACGGAGGCUCCUGGAGGAUUUCAGUGUUCGCACCCUCUACGAUAAGCUGGAAGAUCAGAACUUGCAUCUGGCAUCUCAGCUGGCCAAGCACAGGAUGGACGUGCUGGUGUUCUACAGUGGAGUCAGCCAGCAGAUCCGGAGUCUCAUGGACAUGCUGCAAGCACUGGACACUGAAGACUUGAAAAGGGCUCGUGAGCACAGACCUGCAGAGAGCAGCAGGGCAGCAGCAUGUGCUGAACAGUGUGAUGGGCACUGUGGACACGACUUCCAAGCAGGUGAGAGAGCCAAAGUGCAGAGCAAGAGAGCAGCAGUGUCAGGGAGCAUCAGUGGUUGCACAGGACAUGAUGGGUACAGUGGAUGGCUCAUACACAUGAGAGGACAUCCCACAAGACUGUGUCUUCCAGUGGUGCUGUAGUUCUGUAGGAGCUCUGUAAGAGCUGACCGCCUGUCUUCGUGUGAGUUCAGUGAGAAGCCAGGUCCAGCUUAGGAACAGGUAAGCAGAGAGUUCUUUGGAAAUGCUACAGCAUGAGGCAGCUUGGAGUCACCAUGUGGCAUUUCCAAAGGUUCGUGCUCUUGGCUUUGCUCUGGAGAUCAUUGCAGUUCUUCAUGUGGUUCUGUAGGAGUCCACUGAAAGUGCCUGUUGGGUUCAUUAGGUGCUCCAUGGCAAGAGGCAACAGAGUUAAUGAAAGCUCUGGAGAUGCUGCUGGGGAAUGCUCUGUACAAGAGUGCAUCCUUGAAGCGAGCUGUGGAGCAGAAGGUCCAAGGGCAGGAUGUGGUGGCAGCUGUGCCCUCCCUGGACAGCCUGGCCAGUGGAGGUGUAGAUGUCCAGUUGGCUUACCUGACCGAGUUGGAGGUGGAGAGCCUGAUAGCAGCUUCUCCCCUUGCCAAGACUCUGUGGGAGAUCAAGCAAGCUCUGGUGAACCUGCAGCAACCUUCAGACCUUGGUAAUGCAGGUAACACACCUUGCUCUGCACCCACUGUUUCCCCAUAGUGGAUAGGAUAUAAGAUUACAGAACGGGAGAGAAGUUGUCUCUCACCCUUGGGAAAAGCCACACACAAAUACCUGCUGUUGAGCUGCAGGUCGUUAAAGAGAAGACACCUUUGAUUAGCCCAAAGUGCUUGAUUAGUUCACAUGUGCACACUGGUUUCAUUUGUUCUAUCACCAGGGAAUUUCAUUUCUUAGAGCUUUUUCUGCUCACCACAAUCUGGGAACACCCAAGGUUAGGGUGAAUGCUUAGGGAGCAAUUCAUCACCAAGGCAG
rnacentral:lncRNA from 14 species